rnacentral:rRNA from 1 species
CAGUCGCCGCGGUAAUACGUAGGGUGCGAGCGUUAAUCGGAAUUACUGGGCGUAAAGCGUGCGCAGGCGGUUGUGUAAGACAGGUGUGAAAUCCCCGGGCUUAACCUGGGAACUGCGCUUGUGACUGCACAGCUAGAGUAUGGCAGAGGGGGGUGGAAUUCCACGUGUAGCAGUGAAAUGCGUAGAGAUGUGGAGGAACACCGAUGGCGAAGGCAGCCCCCUGGGCCAAUACUGACGCUCAUGCACGAAAGCGUGGGGAGCAAACAGGAUUAGAUACCCGUGUAGUCACUGUCUAUUAUAA